AGGCCCAAGUCAAGCCAACUCAUGCUGGUUCGGACAUUGAAACUGCCAUCGACGAGUAC
rnacentral:ribozyme from 1 species